rnacentral:rRNA from 1 species
GUGGGGAAUAUUGGACAAUGGGCGAAAGCCUGACGCAGCCAUGCCGCGUGAAUGAUGAAGGUCUUAGGAUUGUAAAAUUCUUUCACCGGGGACGAUAAUGACGGUACCCGGAGAAGAAGCUCCGGCUAACUUCGUGCCAGCAGCCGCGGUAAUACGAAGGGGGCUAGCGUUGCUCGGAAUUACUGGGCGUAAAGGGCGCGUAGGCGGACAGCUUAGUCAGAGGUGAAAGCCCAGGGCUCAACCUUGGAAUUGCCUUUGAUACUGGCUGUCUUGAGUUUGGGAGAGGUGAGUGGAACUCCGAGUGUAGAGGUGAAAUUCGUAGAUAUUCGGAAGAACACCAGUGGCGAAGGCGACUCACUGGCCCAAUACUGACGCUGAGGCGCGAAAGCGUGGGGAGCAAACAGGAUUAGAUACCCGAGUAGUCC